rnacentral:rRNA from 1 species
AGCGAGCGCUGGCGGCAGGCUUAAUACAUGCAAGUCGAGCGCCUGUAGCAAUACAGGAGCGGCAGACGGGAGAGUAACACGUGGGAACGUGCCCUUUAGUUCGGAACAACCCAGGGAAACUUGGGCUAAUACCGGAUACACCCUUACGGGGAAAGAUUUAUCGCUAAAGGAUCGGCCCGCGUCUGAUUAGCUAGUUGGUGGGGUAAUGGCCAACCAAGGCGACGAUCAGUAGCUGGUCUGAGAGGAUGAUCAGCCUCAUUGGGACUGAGACACGGCCCGAACUCCUACGGGAGGCAGCAGUAGGGAAUAUUGGACAAUGGGGGCAACCCUGAUCCAGCCAUGCCGCGUGAGUGAUGAAGGCCUUAGGGUUGUAAAGCUCUUUCGGCGGGGAAGAUAAUGACGGUACCCGCAUAAGAAGCCCCGGCUAACUUCGUGCCAGCCGCCGCCGUAA